GAUGAACGCUGGCGGCGUGCCUAAUACAUGCAAGUCGAGCGAAUGGAUUAAGAGCUUGCUCUUAUGAAGUUAGCGGCGGACGGGUGAGUAACACGUGGGUAACCUGCCCAUAAGACUGGGAUAACUCCGGGAAACCGGGGCUAAUACCGGAUAACAUUUUGAACCGCAUGGUUCGAAAUUGAAAGGCGGCUUCGGCUGUCACUUAUGGAUGGACCCGCGUCGCAUUAGCUAGUUGGUGAGGUAACGGCCCACCAAGGCAACGAUGCGUAGCCGACCUGAGAGGGUGAUCGGCCACACGGGGCAGGAGGCACGGCCCAGACUCCUACGGGAGGCAGCAGUAGGGAAUCUUCCGCAAUGGACAAAAGUCUGACGGAGCAACGCCGCGUGAGUGAUGAAGGCUUUCGGGUCGUAAAACUCUGUUGUUAGGGAAGAACAAGUGCUAGUUGAAUAAGCUGGCACCUUGACGGUGCCUAACCAGAAAGCCACGGCUAACUACGUGCCAGCCGCCGCAGUAA
rnacentral:rRNA from 1 species